rnacentral:rRNA from 1 species
AUUGAACGCUGGCGGCAGGCCUAACACAUGCAAGUCGAACGAGUGGCGGACGGGUGAGUAAUGUCUGGGAAACUGCCCGAUGGAGGGGGAUAACUACUGGAAACGGUAGCUAAUACCGCAUACCAUCGGAUGUGCCCAGAUGGGAUUAUGUAGUAGGGGGGGUAACGGCUCACCUAGGCGACGAUCCCUAGCUGGUCUGGGAGGAUGACCAGCCAAACUGGAACUGAGACACGGUCCAGACUCCUACGGGAGGCAUCAGGGGGGAAUAUUGCACAAUGGGCGCAAGCCUGAGUCAGCCAUGCCGCGUGUAUGAAGAAGGCCUUCGGGUUGUAAAGUACUUUCAGCGAGGAGGCGUUACUCGCAGAAGAAGCACCGGCUAACUCCGUGCCAGCAGCCGCGGUAAUAC